GAGUGCUAAGUGUUAGAGGUUUCCGCCCUUUAGUGCUGAAGUUAACGCAUUAAGCACUCCGCUGGGGAGUACGGUCGCAAGACUGAAACUCAAAGGAAUUGACGGGGGCCCGCACAAGUGGUGGAGCAUGUGGUUUAAUUCGAAGCAACGCGAAGAACCUUACCAGGUCUUGACAUCCUCUGACAACCCUAGAGAUAGGGCUUUCCCUUCGGGGACAGAGUGACAGGUGGUGCAUGGUUGUCGUCAGCUCGUGUCGUGAGAUGUUGGGUUAAGUCCCGCAACGAGCGCAACCCUUGAUCUUAGUUGCCAGCAUUCAGUUGGGCACUCUAAGGUGACUGCCGGUGACAAACCGGAGGAAGGUGGGGAUGACGUCAAAUCAUCAUGCCCCUUAUGACCUGGGCUACACACGUGCUACAAUGGAUAGUACAAAGGGUUGCAAGACCGCGAGGUGGAGCUAAUCCCAUAAAACUAUUCUCAGUUCGGAUUGUAGGCUGCAACUCGCCUACAUGAAGCCGGAAUCACUAGUAAUCGCGGAUCAGCAUGCCGCGGUGAAUACGUUCCCGGGCCUUGUACACACCGCCCGUCACACCACGAGAGUUUGUAACACCCGAAGUCGGUGGGGUAACCUUUUAGGGGCCAGCCGCCUAC
rnacentral:rRNA from 2 species